AGAGGUGGCAAGCGUUGUUCGGAAUUACUGGGCUUAAAGGGCGCGUAGGUGGUGGCAUAAGUCCGAGGUGGAAGGCUAAGGCUUAACCUUAGAAUUGCCUUGGAAACUGUAUCACUUGAGUCAGCGAGGGGAUGGCGGAAUUCCAGGUGUAGCGGUGAAAUGCGUAGAUAUCUGGAGGAAGGCCGGUGGCGAAGGCGGCCAUCUGGCGCUGAACUGACACUGAGGCGCGAAAGCGUGGGGAGCAAACAGGAUUAGAUACCCUGGUAGUCCACGCCCUAAACGGUGGGUACUAGGUGUAGGGCUCGCAAGGGUUCUGUGCCGUAGGGAAACCAUUAAGUACCCCGCCUGGGGAGUACGGCCGCAAGGUUG
rnacentral:rRNA from 1 species